UUGCAACAAGCUGGAUUUGGUGAAGUGAUCAAACUAGGAAACUACAAGAUCGAUGUCGGUUUGAUUACUGCUAUGGUUGAAAGGUGGAGACCAGAAACUCAUACUUUUCAUCUACCGGUAGGUGAGUGCACAAUAACUUUAGAAGACGUAUACUAUAUUUUAGGAUUAAAUGUGUCUGGUAUUCCUGUUAGCGGUUCAAAUUUUGUGAACAUUAAAGAUGUUUGUCAAGAAUAUUUAGGAGUUAUCCCACCUGAGGGAGCAACAAAAGGUAAUUCUAUUAAAUUAAAAUGGCUCAAAGAUACUUUUGAUAAUGUCGGUGAAAACGCUUGUGAAUUAGAAAAACAAGCAUCAUGUCUAGCCUAUAUAUUACGUAUGAUUGGAGGAUUGUUGAUGCCAGACAAAUCCAAUAAUCGUGUACAUUUAAAAUAUCUUUCACUUUUGGGCGAUUUAAAUAAAGCAUCCCACUAUAGUUGGGGUUCGGCAGUUUUAGCAACACUCUAUAGAGAAUUAUGCAUUGCUACGAAACCCAACGUAAUGUCGAUGGGAGGAUGUGCAUUGUUGUUGCAAAACUGGGCAUGGUAUCGUUGAGUUGUGUUGCUCCAGAUGCACCAAGUGCAUGAAUAUUUCCACUUGCACAAAGAUUUAAUUCCGGGGGUUUAAAUUUCACUAAAGUUCCUCACAACGAUAUAGAAGGAUACCGGAAUACAAUUGAUCAUAUGAUGGUUCAAGAAUUUCGUUGGAGACCGUAUCUCGGAUUUCAACACAAGGUACCCGAACAAGAGAUCAACACUUGGGCUGCAUGUACCUAUCUGCACUGCUAUUGUAACACCCCGUUUUUCAAAGCGAGGGUAUAUUUUUUUUUUUUUCAAAAGUAAUUAAACUAAAACAGAGAAAUAGAUAAAGAA